GAGUUGGAUAGCCCAUUUAAAAAGGAAGGUUUUGCUUUAAGAAGAAGGUUAUUUUUUUUCCUCAAAUUAACGCUGGUGAAUACACGGGGCACAACUAGUCUGUGUGUGUAUAUAUAUAUAUAUACUCAUAAAUUAGAGGCCGAUUAUGUACAUCAUAGCCAAAAAUAGUAAUUUUUAUAUAUUUAACAGUGUAAUUAGUAGUGUGGCUAUCACUUUAUUGUGUUUAUAAAAUUACGCAAUGAUGUUAUAUGGUAUCAGUUAAACACCGCAAUAGACAAACUUGAAUUACACCCUAUCAAAGGUCAAAAUACAGAGCGACCUAAGUGAGUCCAUCCGAAGAAUUGGUCUCCGCAUGGGUUUUGGACCAGACAAAAGAUAUGUUCAAUUAACAAGUGGAGAAAUUAUACAGGAUUAUAUCAACCUUGGCUAUACUAUACAACUAUCUGUCAAAAUUUGAAUGCAUUUUCCUCAUUUAUUUGGCCACUGUGACUUCAAAAACAAGUUUUGUGGGCGAUGGCAAAUAUGUUUGAUUCAAACGAAACGGAAAACACAGAACUGUUUGAAGAAACAGAUGGAGAGGAUAAUUUGGAUAUUCAAAUUCGCAAGUUGCAAGAAAUCAAAGACGCUUUAAGACAUGUAGAAACGACCCAUGCUAUUGUGAAGCACGAUGCCAAAGAUAUAAUUCAAAAGUUAGAAAGGGACCUCAUUAUUGAUUAUGAUACGACAUUUCUUACUGACUAUUACAACGUAUUAAAAAGUAAUGACACAGUAAUUAUAAAACAAAUUAA